UCCUUGUAUGGUCUAGUAGUAUGAUUCCUGCUUCGGGUGCAGGAGGUCCCGGGUUCAAUUCCCGGCUGAGCCCUACUGGGAA
rnacentral:tRNA from 1 species